CUUCUCCGACCAUUUUUUGUUUUCAGAGGAUCUUUAUGAGACCCUGGUUGUUUUUGUUCCGGGGUGACCUCGGGGCCCGCCGGCAGUUUUUUGUUUUGUUUUCCCGGGAGUUCUAGGGGAUCCCGGUCUUCAUGCUCCGGGAGGCAUCUUUAAGAUCCUCUCCGGCCGUUCCGGGGUGACCUCGGGGCCCCGCCGGCAGUUUUUGGUUUGUUUUCCCGGGAGUUCUAGGGGAUCCCGGUCUUCAUGCUCCGGGAGGCAUCUUUAAGAUCCUCUCCGGCUGUUCCGGGGUGACCUCG
rnacentral:lncRNA from 1 species